GCCAAGAACGAGAUUUUCCUGGACGUCAUCGAGAGACUCACGGUCGUCAUCGCCGCCAACGGGACGCCCAUGAAGGUGGAUGUGGAGGGGCAGAUCCGCCUCAAGUGCUACCUGCCCAGCUCCUGCGAGCUGCGCAUCGGCCUCACCGAGGAGUUCUGCGUGGGCAAGUCCGAGCUGCGCGGUGCGUCCCC